rfam:Gregarina niphandrodes unplaced genomic scaffold scaffold00035, whole genome shotgun sequence.
GCCGCUUUAGCUCAGUUGGUAGAGCGCAGGACUUUUAAUCCUGCAGUCGCGGGUUCGAGCCCCGCAGGCGGUG